CCAAGGAGUCUAACAUAUGUGCAAGUCAUUGGGUUAUAUUAAACCUAAUGGCGUAAUUAACUUAACUGUAUGGGAUUAAUUUUUAGUGUAUUACACUCUAUUAAUUCAAUCCCGGGGCGUUCCAUAUAGUUAUGUAUAAUGAUAAUUUAUUAUUAUUUAUACCUCUAACUGGAGCGUACCUUGAGCAUAUAUGCUGUGACCCGAAAGAUGGUGAACUAUACUUGAUCAGGUUGAAGUCAGGGGAAACCCUGAUGGAAGACCGAAACAGUUCUGACGUGCAAAUCGAUUGUCAGAAUUGAGUAUAGGGGCGAAAGACCAAUCGAACCAUC
rnacentral:rRNA from 1 species